rnacentral:rRNA from 1 species
AUUGAACGCUGGCGGCAGGCCUAACACAUGCAAGUCGAACGAGUGGCGGACGGGUGAGUAAUGUCUGGGAAACUGCCCGAUGGAGGGGGAUAACUACUGGAAACGGUAGCUAAUACCGCAUACCAUCGGAUGUGCCCAGUUGGGAUUAGCUGUUGGGGGGGGUAACGGCUCACCAGGGGGACGAUCCCUAGCUGGUCUGAGAGGAUGACCAGCCAAACUGGAACUGAGAAACGGUCCAGACUCCUACGGGAGGCAGCAGUGGGGAAUAUUGAACAAGGGGCGCAAGCCUGAUGCAGCCAUGCCGCGUGUAUGAAGAAGGCCUUCGGGUUGUAAAGUACUUUCAGCGAGGAGGCGUUACUCGCAGAAGAAGCACCGGCUAACUCCGUGCCAGCAGCCGCGGUAAUUC